CCUACGGGUGGCAGCAGUGGGGAAUAUUGCACAAUGGGGGGAACCCUGAUGCAGCGACGCCGCGUGGGUGAAGAAGUACUCCGGUAUGUAAAGCCCUGUCAGCAGGGAAGAAAAUGACGGUACCUGACCAAGAAGCCCCGGCUAACUACGUGCCAGCAGCCGCGGUAAUACGUAGGGGGCAAGCGUUAUCCGGAUUUACUGGGUGUAAAGGGAGCGUAGACGGCAAGGCAAGUCUGGAGUGAAAGCCCGGGGCCCAACCACGGGACUGCUUUGGAAACUGUGUGGCUGGAGUGCAGGAGGGGUAAGCGGAAUUCCUAGUGUAGCGGUGAAAUGCGUAGAUAUUAGGAGGAACACCGGUGGCGAAGGCGGCUUACUGGACUGUAACUGACGUUGAGGCUCGAAGGCGUGGGGAGCAAACAGGAUUAGAUACCCCUGUAGUC
rnacentral:rRNA from 1 species